UACGAAGGGGGCUAGCGUUGCUCGGAAUCACUGGGCGUAAAGGGUGCGUAGGCGGGUUUUUAAGUCAGGGGUGAAAUCCUGGAGCUCAACUCAGAACUGCCUUUGAUACUGAAGAUCUUGAGUCCGGGAGAGGUGAGUGGAACUGCGAGUGUAGAGGUGAAAUUCGUAGAUAUUCGCAAGAACACCAGUGGCGAAGGCGGCUCACUGGCCCGGUACUGACGCUGAGGCACGAAAGCGUGGGGAGCAAACAGG
rnacentral:rRNA from 1 species